CCUCCCACCAAAGCUCCUGUCAAGCCCCCAACCAAAGCCCCAGUUUACCCUCCUACCAAAGCUCCAGUUAAGCCUCCAACCAAAGCCCCAGUUAAGCCCCCAGUUUCCCCACCGACCAAACCUCCGGUCAAGCCCCCGGUUUACCCUCCCACCAAAGCUCCGGUUAAACCCCCAACUAAACCCCCGGUCAAGCCACCAGUUUCCCCACCAGCCAAACCUCCGGUCAAGCCCCCGGUUUACCCUCCCACCAAAGCUCCAGUCAAGCCCCCAACUAAGCCCCCGGUUAAACCACCGGUUUCUCCUCCGGCCAAGCCACCAGUUAUGCCGCCGGUUUACCCACCUAAGUUCAACCGUAGC
rnacentral:lncRNA from 1 species